rnacentral:rRNA from 1 species
AGCUCUGUAAGCGUAUAUCAAAGUUGUUGCAGUUAAAACGCUCGUAGUCGAAUCUUGGCUGAACUUACGCGGAGUCCGCAAGGAUUCUGCGGUUGAGGAAAGCCUUUGUGGAUUGUGUGCGCGGAGGUGUUUUAUUACACUUCCGUUGUACUGCCACCGUUUACUGUGAAAAAAUUAGAGUGUUCAAAGCAAGCGAUUUGCCCUGAAUACAUUAGCAUGGAAUAAUAGAAUAGGACCUGGUCUUAUUUUGUUGGUUUGUAUAAUUUCAGGUAAUGAUUAACAGGGACGGUUGGGGGCAUUUGUAUUCCGAGGCGAGAGGUGAAAUUCUUAGACCCUCGGAAGACAAACAGCUGCGAAAGCGUUUGCCAAGGACGUUUUCAUUGAUCAAGAACGAAAGUAG